rnacentral:misc_RNA from 1 species
AAACUUUGCUUUUGAAUGUAUUGUUAACUAAUAGUAUCUGUUGUCAAUUUUAUUAUGACACAACAUACAAAUCAGAUAAUUCAUUGGUUUAUUCCUUGCAAAAGACUUGUUAGUAAUUUUCAAAUAUAAUAAAACUUAUCAUCUUAUUAUCAUCUUUUAUUAUUUUUGGAUUGUAUACUUCUUUAUCUGUAGAUUAUUAUUUAAAUCAUAAUACAAGCAUGCCUAAUGUUUACAUGUUGUUUAGAUCCUGCUCCACAUUAUGAAGCCUUUUUGAGAUAUCCAACAUCUUCAUCUGCAAUGAGUGCUCUAGUUCCAUCCUCAAUUGCAUUGAGUGUUCCAUCUACAUCUGCAAUAAUUGUUACAUCUUCAGCUGCUACAAGUGUUAAACAAAAACUGCAAAGUGCAAAACAUAAAUAACUUUUCGAAAGGAAUGGCGUUAAAUCUGGAACAUCUUCAACACAUAAACUAAUGAAGGAAACAGUUCUAAAAGUAGUUCUAUAUUAUAUUUGCAGGUUGAUCAUUAUUUGUGUGAUGGUUUUUUGACAUAAUUAUCAUAGAUUUUUUACUAAAGUAUACAUAGCAAAAGUUUCAUCUGCAACCAGUUUUUGCACAACUUAUGUUAAAGAAUUGUGCAAAUCUUGUAUUGAAGCUAUUUUUAAAAUUACCAACUCUUGUUUGUGAAUGACACAAACAAUUAAUGAAAAUGAAGCUUCUGGGAGAUCACAAAUGCUAUUAUUGAAAUAUAUCAUUAAGAGCAAGAAAUCAAACAAAACAUUUUAGACAGAUAAACAUGUGAAAUUUUAUGGAAAAAUUUUAGGGAAUUAUUAUGUUUUUUAUUUCUGGUACACCAUACAUAGUGCAGCAGAAAUAAAAAGCAAAACAAAGACAUUUCAUUUUUUAUUUCUGUUACACCAUAGCAGCAUAAGCUUUAAAAAAGGAUUAAAGAAAUAUAUUUUGUUACACUACAUUAUCUACUUGUUAAUAUAAGACUGCUUUGUAUUAAAAUAUAAUAAUACUUAAUAUAUGUUAUUCAUAAUU